UAUCAUGUUGAAACACCCGUUCUUAUAUGAUCACCGAAGUUAAGCAAUGUUUAGCCUGGUUAGUACCUAAAUGGGUGACCACUUAAGAAUACCAGGUGCUGUAAG